GGUGGGCGGAGCCAAGAUGGCUGAAGUGAAGCUUGGGAUGAAAACUCAGGUUCCUGCAUCUGUUGAAUCUCAAAAACCUAGGUCAAAAAAAGGUCUGUAUUUAAUUUUAUUUUAUAUAUGUGUCUAUACACAUGUGUGAAUCUGUGUUUGUUUCUGUUUCAUGCAUACCAGAGCUUUGUAAAGUAUGUUAGGAAAACCAGUAAUGGUCAAACUCUUUUUUCUCCUUUUUAUUUUUCAAAGAUCUAUUCAUUUUAUGUAUGUGAAUACACUGUCACUGUCUUCAGACACACCAGAAGAGGGCACUGUAUCCCAUUACAGAUGGUUGUGAGCCACCAUGUGGUUGCUGGGAAUUGAACUCAAGACUUCUGAAAGAGCAGUCAGUGCUCUUAACCACUGAGCCAUCUCUCCAGCCCCAUGGCCCAGCUCUUACACAAUGACUAGUUUUUAUUUUAUCUAAUUAGAUUUUAUUGGCCUGUAAUGUAUUUAAAUGGUUUUUGGUUAUUAUGUCAGUAUUCAUUAAUUUCUAUUUGUGUUAUAAACAUUACUUUCUUAUACAACCUCCACUAAUUUUAUGUAUAUAUUAAGUAAGUGUUGCAUUGACUUUUUGGGGAGCGGGGGGUUCAAGACAGGGUUUCUCUGUACAGCCCUGGCUGUCCUGGAACUCACUCUGUAGACCAGGCUGGCCUCGAACUCAGAAAUCUGCCUGCCUCUGACUCCCAAGUGCUGGGAUUAAAGGUGUGUGCCACCACUGCCUGGCACAUUGACUUUUUAUUUAAAAAUUUUUGCCUUGAGAUAGGGCCUUGCUUUGUGAGCUUCCAGAGGGAAACAUGGCAUAUUUAUUUCUAAGAUGGGCUGCACCCAUUGCUGUUGACUUGGGACACUUUCUAUACUUUAGUUCCCAAUUACUGGGAUUAUGGAUAUUGCAUGCUUGGCUAGUGUGCGGUUUUAUAAAAAUUCAUCCUUGGAAGCCUAGUGAAGACCCGGCCUGUGAAGUGCUACAUUUUUGGUCUCAGAGGUGAUGUAUUGUUGUUGAUUUAGAGGAACAAGAAUCCUCCAUCUGCUAACCUGUGACACUUUAGGAGGACUGACUUCAGGUUGUGACUGUCACUGGGGGAUUCUCAAGGGCUUUGGAUGGGACGUCCUCCUCCUCAUCAGAUAUUAGAGAAAUACCGGAAUAUUGUUAACAAAAAGACAUUAGUUCUGCCAUCCAUAGGGCUGUUUAUUUUAAUUGAAAUGUUUGUGGUGUUAGGGAUUGAGCCUAAGACUAUGCACAUGCUAGGCAGGUGCUCUUAAGCUAGAUCCCCAGCUUCCUCUUUUACUUGUUUCAAAACUUCUUUUUUAAUGUAUGUGUUGGGGUCUGCUGAUCCAGUUUCAAUCCCUAGGACCCACAUGGUGGAAGGAGAGAACCAGCUUCUUCAAAUUGUCCUCUGUGUAUGCUAUAGUACGUGUACCCACGCAUUGUCCUCUGUGUAUGCUAUAGUACGUGUACCCACGCAUUGUCCUCUGUGUAUGCUAUAGUACGUGUACCCACGCAUUGUCCUCUGUGUAUGCUAUAGUACGUGUACCCACACAUGGGGAGCCACAAAGUAAAUACAAUUAGGAAAACAAGAUAUUUCCAUACAUUUCCAAAUUCCAUGAAGAAUUUAAUGCACUAUUGUAAUUGCUUGUGGUUGGUUUAGACAUGAGAACUCCGCUAAAGGAGAAAAUUUAACACUUACUGUAUUGUUUGUUUUGCCAAAAUAUGCUCUCUAGCUCCAGACUUCCCUAUUGUGGAGAAACAGAACUGGCUGAUCCAUCUCCACUAUAUCCGGAAGGAUUAUGAAGCUUGCAAGGUGAGAGACAGGCUGGGCAGACAGACACUGUCAGUGUCUACAGCCCCGUGUGGCAGCUAAUAGCUUCCUGCUUUAAACAUCAGUAUUUUAAUCUAAACAAUAUUUUAUCUACCAGCCUUGACUAUGAUCUUGUCUCUUUGUGUGUUUCUAUAUAGCAAAUAGGAGCAGGUUCCUUCCUGCUUACUGUGGGGAUUUUCUCAUUGUACUCAAACCCUUUAGUAUGACACUCUGUCCUCUCUCCCACCCUCUUAUUUGCCUCAGCUCCUCUUCUACCCCUUGCCAACACACAGUUUGAAGCUUUUCAUUUUGGGAAGCCUUUCUUAAUUCUCUUGGGAUGGCUGUAGAUGCUGCCUUUUGAGAGUAAGUACCUGGGUCUAGUCUGUCAGAGUAGAGAGCCCAUGUGAUUUGUUCUCUACUGAGAACCACUAGCGUCUGCCAUGGUGCUUGAAACUUUUCUCAUGUUUUUCUAGCAUGCCUAGUUAGAUUUUAACUAGGGGUUGAGAAAUUUUUUUUUCUGUUAUGGAUGAGAUAGUAGUUUAUUUUAAAUUUAAUUUUUUGAGAUGAGGUUUUCCUCUGUAUCUUUGGUCGGCCUUGAACUUGCUAACAGGCCAAACUCACAGAGAUCCACCUGCCUUUGCCUUCUGAGUGUUGGGAUUAAAGGUGUGUGCCUCCAUGUCUGGUCAAGACAGUGGUUUAGACUUUAGGGUUAUGUAGUUCUUAUCUCCUAUUUGUUGGUUGUUGCUGUUGUUGGUUUUUGGUUUUGUUUGUAACAGUUGCAUGUAACCUCAGAUUCAAUAGGUAGUAGAAGUUGACCUUGAUUUCUUGGUCCUCUUGUCUCCACCUCCUGAGUGCUGAGAUUGUAGGCACAUACCACAGUGCAUGGCAUAUAAUGCAAAAAUACAAAACUUAUUCAGAAAUUUUAAAGUUUAUGUGUGGGUGUUUUGCUUACCUGUUUGUCUCAAGCAAGUAUUGCUUGAGGAGGCCAGAAGAUGUCAUCAGACUCCUUGGGACUUGAGACUGGAGUUACAGAGUUACACAACUGUACUAUCUGUAUAAUUGUGAGUUGCCAUCAGGGAGCCGGUAAUCACAUUUGGGUCCUUUGAAAGAGCAGCAAGUGCUAAAGGUAUUUUUUUUUUUCUUUUAUAAGACAGGGUUUCUCUGUGUAGUCCUGGUUGUCCUGGAACUAGAUCUGUAGACCAGGCUGGCCUCAAACCACAGAGAUCCACCUGCCUCUGCUCCUGAGUGCCAGGAUUAAAGGCGUGCACCACCAUGCCCAACCCUAAAAGUAUUUCUAAAUGAGGGAUGUACAUACAGAAAUAUUCUGAGAGCCCCUAGGUUGCUAACCUUAUUCUGAAAUAAGUGAUCAUAAGAGUUGAGAUGAAAACAAAACUCCUGAUGAAACCACAUUGUUAAUUGUUGUCUAUGUCCUAGGUGUUUUAUGUCCCUUGUCUGCCUCUACUGCUGCUUUGGUAACACCUAACCCCUACUCAGCUAUUCUUCUCUUUUAGGCUGUGAUCAAAGAACAGCUUCAGGAGACUCAGGGGCUAUGUGAAUAUGCUAUCUAUGUCCAAGGUAAGACAUAUUGUUUCUUUCCUUACUGGAAAAUAUAUUUAGCCCAAGGUUCUUGGAAAACAAACAAACAAAAAAACCCAAACAACCUAGGGAAGACUUAAAUUCAAAUAGUGUCUCAGAGAAGUCUUAUUUACUAUCCUUUGAAAUUUGAACAUGGGCUGGCGAGAUGGCUCAGCGGGUAAGAGCACUGAUUGCUCUACCAAAGGUCCUAAGUUCAAAUCCCAGCAACCACAUGGUGGCUCACAACCACCUGGAAUGAGAUCUGAUGCCCUCUUCUGGUGCGUCUGAAGACAGCUACAGUGUACAAUAAUAAAGAAAUUAUUAUACAGUGUAUAAUAAUAAAUAAAUCUUUU
rnacentral:lncRNA from 1 species